UCCUUUUUAUAAAAAUUGAAUUUUUUGUGGGCCCAUAUGAUGAUCUAUUUUUUAAGACAAGUGUUCGAUUAAAUGUAUGUACCACUUUGUAGCCAAUUUUUGAAACCCGAUUUCACUGUGACUAAUUUGGAAGACCGUUUCCGGAAAAAAAUGUCAUUCAAAGGCUUUCAAUUAAAGGUUUAAAAAGCCUAAUUCUACACUGAAGCCUUCCCCAAAUUAUGAGUCCCUGUCGAAGUCAACAUACUCCAUGACCUGCCAACCCUAAUAGUAGCUCGCCCAAGUCAAUGUUCUCCAUGACCCACCGUUGUGGGUCUCUGUUAGUUUGGCGACGUCCCGAACGCAUCUAACAAUAGUUGGUUGGUUGUGUUGGAGGCAGGAAGAGGAGCUGAGGAGGUGACUAUUCUGUUGGGGAUAAAAUGAUUAUCUGAAAACUUGGAAAAUGUGGCAAAUGCAAUGGCAUGGAAUUGUGAUGAUGAUUGUUGAUUAGCUUCGCAACUAAAUUUGAACGAAAUUCAAAGGCUUUCCACAGAAUCGCCCUAUGUUACCUCUGUUGGCCCUUUACUACCAUUGUUUCAACCUGAAUGCCAAUGACUAAGGGGGAGCCACAAGAAGGAUAAUUGAAAUUCUCCAAAUCUUUGACUCUACUACCUAUACCGGUGGAUCAUUUUUAUAGGUGUGUGAUCAAAUGCAACCACUUUCUAUGCCUCUAGCUUUGGUUCUUUCGCCUUGGAAGCUGGUUCAGUUCUCUCUUUUUUUAUUUUGCUUCUUUCGUAGAAUUGGCUUCAGCUUCAUCAAUUGCUAUGUUUAAGUCGUGUUCCUUAUAAGGAAAAAGGAUACUACCUUUCUUUACUUUGCUCCACGAAACUGGAUGACCCCUGUGUGUUUGUACAUGGUUUUUCUUUUGGAAAAUAAAGUAAAAGGAUUGAGGAGGAAAAUAGCAUUUUUGUAAUAUUUGUUGAAAUGAAUUCUGUAAUGGUUGUUCAGUCAUGAGUUAAGCCAGGCCAUUGCUUGAAAUUUGGUCAAAUGGAUAACCAACCUAUAUGACAGAAUGCAUGAAUGAGAUAUUGAUUUGAGAGUAAUGUGAUUAUGAAUAAAAA